UUGGGGGGCACAGCCUGUGCCAAGGGGCAGCAAGGUGCCUGCAGGCCCCAGCUCAGGGGGAAACAGAGAACGUCCUGGCCGUAUCCAGCGUGCUGCCAGCUCAGCAGCAGAGCACAGCACGGGCUAACACUGCCCAUUGCUCCCACAGAUGGAGCCAGCACCACAACUCAUGUUCCUGAUUCCCAGAAGGUCAUUGAAAGGGCUUUCUGUCAGGGAACACGCUGCUAACUAGAGAUAAUGGCCAUGGUGGGAGGUGGAGAGCUUGUCUUCAUGUUGUGCUGCUUUGGAAUCUGGUGUUCCUGGAGGAGAAAAUGGAGCACUUCUGGACAGCAUUUGAAGGACAGUGGCUGCACUAAACACCCAGACAGCUUGAGCAGCUCCUCUUCAGUAAUGAGGGCCUGGGCAGCUCUCGCAAGAGCUUUGAGAAGAGGACCCCAGAGCAGCCAUCCCAGAACAGGAGGAAUCCUCCUAUAACCCUGUAGAUCCCACGGCCAACUCUUCUCCCCAUGGGUAUCCCCAAGGUCCCUUCAUUCCCUUUUUUGAUCUCCCUCUGCCCCAGCCUAGCCCAUUCCUUAGUUCUUGUAGAGACCCCAAGACCAGCCCAGCACCCUCCAGCCCCACCUGAGACCAACAUGGCCCUUCCUCUGUCCCUGAGCCCCUCUGGCCCUGCCCUGUAAACAACACUGAAGGUGAGCCCAUCUGCCAGUGUAGGUGAUGGCCCCUUCUUCUCUUCAAAUAAAGAGAUGGAGCUGUUA